ACGUAGGAGACAAGCGUUAUCCGGAGUUACUGGGCGUAAAGGGCGUGUAGGCGGCCUUCUAAGUGGGUUGUGAAAGCGACUGGCUCAACCGGUCGAGGCUGACCCGGACUGGGAAGCUAGAGGGCGGUAGAGGGGUGUGGAAUUCCGGGUGUAGUGGCGAAAUGCGUAGAGAUCCGGAGGAACACCAGAGGCGAAGGCGGCACCCUGGACGACACCAGACGCUGAGACGCGACAGCACGGGGAGCGAACGG
rnacentral:rRNA from 1 species